AUGGGCAAGAGCAAGGGCCAUGAUGACAGAUUAUACAGCGAGGAGCAGUGUAACGAGCUGGAGGCUCUGGCAUCCAUCUCCCCUGACUCCUUCACAGUAUUAUCAGAAAGUCCACCCAGCUUCACCAUGACUGUGACAUCUGAGGCUGGAGAAAAUGAUAAAACUGUCCAGACUACCCUCAAGUUUACAUACAGUGAAAAAUACCCAGACGAAGCUCCCCUUUAUGAAAUAUUCUCUCAGGAAAAUCUAGAAGAUAAUGAUAUCUCAGGCAUUUUAAAAGUACUAGCAUUACAGGCUGAAGAAAAUCUUGGUAUGGUGAUGAUCUUUAGUGACAGCUGUGCACGAAAAAUUAAAUGAAAUAGUAGAUCAGAUUAAAAACUAGAAGAGAAUAAGAAAAGAAACAAAAAAAGCAGAAGCUGAAAAGCAGUUAUCCCAGGGCACUCCAGUUACAACUGAGAAUUUCUUAAAUUGGAAGGCCAAGUUUGAUGCAGAACUCUUGGAAAUUAAAAAGAAAAGGAUGAAAGAAGAACAAGCAGGAAAAAAAUAAAUUAAGUGGGAAACAACUAUUUGAAACAGAUCGUAAUCUUGACACAUCUGAUGUCCGGUUCUUGGAGGAUGCCGGAAACAAUGUGGAGGUGGAUGAGUCUUUUUGUUCCAAGAAAUGACGACUUGGAGCUGGAGGACGAUGAAGAUGGUCCGGACUACAAUCCUGCUGACCCAGAGAGUGACUCAGCUAAUUAAUGGACUGUCCCCAUCUGCAGAGAGGCUUGACUGCCACAGCAUCUGUGGCUAUGCUCAGAGGGUUUUAAUUUUCCUUUCUUUUUUUCUAGGAAAAAAUUAUUUUCAGGAGAAUAUUCUUCUGAUAGCUUUCAACAUCGAACUUAAUAAACUGACCUUAAAAUUUCAAAUAUAAAAGAAAAAAAGAAGAAGAAAACGGGGUUCUCAUGAGUCUGGACUGAGGGCCGGCCGUACCUGUGUAGGAGAAAAUGGGGUUCUCCUGAGUCUGGACUGAGGGCUGGCCGCACAUGUGUAGGAGAAAACGGGGUUCUCCUGAGUCUGGACUGAGGGCCGGCUGCACAUGUGUAGGAGAAAACGGGGUUCUCCUGAGUCUGGACUGAGGGCCGGCCCCACCUGUGUAGGAGAAAAUGGGGUUCUCCUGAGUCUGGACUGAGGGCCGGCCCCACCUGUGUAGGUGGAAAUCCACGAAGCCAGACAGGAGAAGAGUGUGUGAGGUGAACAGCUUCCAGGGUUUUCACAGGGCUUUGACAUACUCAAGCUGCAGCCAGGGUGACGGGGCCUGGUGGUCACUGUGGAUGCUCAGGGCUGGGGUUACAGGCCCGAGCCACCGUGACUGUUUUCUUUCUUGAGAUGGAGUCUCACUCCGUCACCCAGUUGGGGCUAUAGUGGCCCUAUCUCGGCUCACUGUAACCUCCACCUCCUGAGUUCAGGUGAUUCUCCUGCCUCAGCCUUCGGAGAAGCUGGGAUUACAGGCACCCACCACCACACCCAGCUGAUUUUUAUAUCCUUUAUAGAUAUAGGGUUUUGCAUGUUGCUCAGGCUGAUCUCAAACUCCUGACCUCCGGGGAUCUGCCCACCUUGGCCUCCCAGAGUGCUUGGAUUACAGGCAUGAGCCAACGCACCCGGCCUCUUUGUUUUUCUUGAUCAUAUUGAUAAAGGUUAAUCUCAGUUUUUUCAGACAAUCGUUCGGGUUCUGUUGACCUACUGUUUUUCCUUGAAGUUUCUAUUUCACUGAACCUUGUAAAUUAUGAUUUCCUUAUUUCUUGUUUCCUUGAGUCUAUUCUAACUUCUCACAUUGGAGAUUUAGCUCAUCUAAACCUUAUUUUUAAUUUUUUUGUUGGCAGAACAGGUCCUCACUCUGUUGCCCAGGCUGGAGUACAGUGGCGUGAAUGCAGCUUUCACUGUAGCCUCAACCUCCCAGGCUCAAUCAGUGCUCCUGCUUCUGCCUCCUGAGUAGCUGGGACCACAGGCAUGUGCCACUAUGCCCAGCUAAUGUUCAAUUUUUUUUGUAGAGACAGAGUCUUGCCAUGUUACCCAGGCUGGUCUCAAACGCCUCGACCUCUCGAAGUGUCGGGAUUAGAGGCGUGAGCCACUUGGACUGGCCAAACCUUUUUAACUGUUGGUGUUCCCUGAUAAGCAUAGUUAAGGUGCUAUGUUUCAGCCGUACCCUACAAAACUGAAAUUUAUCAUUUCAGUUAUAAAUAAUUCAUUUUAUGAUUAUCUUGAACCCAAGAUCAUUCAGUAGCAGGUUUUACAAUUUUGAAGCAGAAGCAGGAUGAGGGGUUUUGAUGUUGGUUUCGAAUUUCAUUGCAUUAUGUUUGGAAUAAAUCGAGCCUUGCUCUGUGGCCUGAUAUGAUUGCAUUCUAGGCAUGGUCUGUGUUUGCCAAAAAGAAAGUGCAUCGUCUGUCUGCAAGGUUAGACCUCCUGUGCCUCCUAACUCAAGCCAACCAGUUCUGUUGAUUAAAGUUUUUGUCAGGA